AUUGAACGCUGGCGGCAGGCCUAACACAUGCAAGUCGAACGAGUGGCGGACGGGUGAGUAAUGUCUGGGAAACUGCCUGAUGGAGGGGGAUAACUACUGGAAACGGUAGCUAAUACCGCAUACCAUCGGAUGUGCCCAGAUGGGAUUAGCUUGUUGGUGGGGUAACGGCUCACCAAGGCGACGAUCCCUAGCUGGUCUGAGAGGAUGACCAGCAACACUGGAACUGAGACACGGGCCAGAGUCCUACGUGAGGCAGCAGUGGGGAAUAUGGCACAAUGGGCGCAAGCCUGAUGCAGGCAUGCCGCGUGUAUGAAGAAGGCCCUAGGGUUGUAAAGUACUUUCAGCGGGGAGGCGUUACCCGCAGAAGAAGCACCGGCUAACUCCGUGCCAGCAGCCGCGGUAAUUC
rnacentral:rRNA from 1 species